UACGUAGGGGGCAAGCGUUGUCCGGAAUCAUUGGGCGUAAAGAGCGUGUAGGCGGCUUGGUAAGUCCGCUGUGAAAGUCCAGGGCUCAACCCUGGAAUGCCGGUGGAAACUGUCAAGCUUGAGUCCGGAAGAGGCGAGUGGAAUUCCUGGUGUAGCGGUGAAAUGCGCAGAUAUCUGGAAGAACACCCGUGGCGAAGGCGGCACUCUGGGACGGUACUGACGCUGAGACGCGAAAGCGUGGGGAGCGAACAGG
rnacentral:rRNA from 1 species